rnacentral:rRNA from 1 species
GGCUUAACACAUGCAAGUCGAACGGUAACAGAAAAAGCUUGCUUUUUGCUGACGAGUGGCGAACGGGUGCGUAACGCGUAUGCAACCUACCUUCUUCAGAGGAAUAGCCCAGAGAAAUUUGGAUUAAUACCUCAUAAUAAUAUUUUUUCGCAUGAUAAUUUAUUUAAAGCUUCGGCGGAGGAAGAUGGGCAUGCGUAACAUUAGUUAGUUGGUGAGGUAACGGCUCACCAAGACUACGAUGUUUAGGGGGUCUGAGAGGAUGAUCCCCCACACUGGUACUGAGACACGGACCAGACUCCUACGGGAGGCAGCAGUGAGGAAUAUUGGUCAAUGGACGAAAGUCUGAACCAGCCAUGCCGCGUGAAGGAUGACUGCCCUAUGGGUUGUAAACUUCUUUUAUAUAGGAAGAAACCCCUCUACGUGUAGAGGGUUGACGGUACUAUACGAAUAAGCACCGGCUAACUCCGUGCCAGCAGCCGCGGUAAUACGGAGGGUGCAAGCGUUAUCCGGAAUUAUUGGGUUUAAAGGGUGCGUAGGCGGAAAUUUAAGUCAGUGGUGAAAGCCUGCAGCUUAACUGUAGAAUUGCCAUUGAAACUGAAUUUCUUGAAUCUAAUUGAAGUAGGCGGAAUAUGACAUGUAGCGGUGAAAUGCUUAGAUAUGUCAUAGAACACCAAUAGCGAAGGCAGCUUACUAAGUUAGUAUUGACGCUAAUGCACGAAAGCGUGGGGAGCGAACAGGAUUAGAUACCCUGGUAGUCCACGCCGUAAACUAUGAUUACUCGCUAUUGGCGAUACACUGUCAGUGGCUAAGCGAAAGUGAUAAGUAAUCCACCUGGGGAGUAC